CACUUUAUUUGAUUUCCUUCGGGACUGAUUAUUUUGUGACUGAGUGGCGGACGGGUGAGUAACGCGUGGGUAACCUGCCUUGUACAGGGGGAUAACAGUUGGAAACGGCUGCUAAUACCGCAUAAGCGCACGGCAUCGCAUGAUGCAGUGUGAAAAACUCCGGUGGUAUAAGAUGGACCCGCGUUGGAUUAGCUAGUUGGUGAGGUAACGGCCCACCAAGGCUACGAUCGGUAGGGGUUCUGAGAGGAAGGCCCCCACAUUGGAACUGAGACACGGUCCAAACUCC
rnacentral:rRNA from 1 species